rnacentral:rRNA from 1 species
UACGUAGGGGGCGAGCGUUGUCCGGAUUUAUUGGGCGUAAAGAGCGUGUAGGCGGUUUGUCGCGUCUGCUGUGAAAUUUCGGGGCUCAACCCCGAACUUGCAGUGGGUACGGGCAGACUAGAGUGUGGUAGGGGAGACUGGAAUUCCUGGUGUAGCGGUGGAAUGCGCAGAUAUCAGGAGGAACACCGAUGGCGAAGGCAGGUCACUGGGCCGCAACUGACGCUGAGGAGCGAAAGCAUGGGGAGCGAACAGG